GAGAAAGAAAACAAAUAUCUUCUUAUCGGUGUUAUGAAACCUUACUGAUUUCCUUGUAAUAAUCUAUGAAUAAGCCCCACAUGCAUCUCUACGUCCUAUUAUUUCUCUCUAUCUUUAUUUUAUAAUCCUUAAUUUCAUCUCUCCUUGCUAGUUCUGAAAUUGACUUCGCAUCAGCCAACAUUUGUCUGUUUAUUCUUUCUCUUAACACGUAAAUCCUCAGGUUCAGAAUGAUGAUACUAGCUAGUGCUUAUGGUAUGACUUAUGAUCCACUGAUUUAGAUAUGUAAAACUUAAAUGUUCUUGCAAGUACUUAUGAAGCGAAUCCAUCAUUCUUUGCAGUGCCAAAAUUUCUUACAUAUUCAUCUUUGGGAGAAAGAUCAAGGCAUAUAGUGGGCUACUUCUGCAAAAGGAGCUCUUUAGAGGUGAUGAUAUAUGUUGGAUGACGAAACAAGGAUAUUGUUCUGGUGCUUGCUUCGACUUGGGUGUUCAGAGAAGUGAAACUUUAACUAAUCUGUUCAGGGAAGCAACAUAUUGCAUUUAAAGUGAAGCUUCCUCUAUGAUAUGGAGAUGCAAUCAUCCAUCUAAAGACAAGAUUGCCAAGAUAAAUCGAUGAUGCAUGGCUCAGAAGUUGAUUACAAGAUCGAGAAGGUGGCUACUACUAGAUAGUUUCAGAUUAUGUUUUGGAAUGUAAUUUUUAGGGUCAUGUUUCAAACACUGUGUGUUUAGAUGGCUGAGUCGUUCAGUGCAAGGUUGAGAAUCAGACUAUUACUAGAUAGUUUCACAUAUUGUAAUCUGUGUAUCAUGUUCUUUGUAA